GAUGAAGAACGCAGCGAAAUGCGAUACGUAAUGUGAAUUGCAGAAUUCAGUGAAUCAUCGAAUCUUUGAACGCAUAUUGCGCUCUCUGGUAUUCCGGAGAGCAUGCUUGUUUGAGUAUCAGUAAACACCUCAACUCCCUUUUCUUUUUUGAAAUUGGAGCUGGACUUGAGUGAUCCCAACGCUUUCUUCCAAGAAAGUGGCGGGUUGCUUGAAGUGCAGGUGCAGCUGAACUUUUCUCUGAGCUAUAAGCAUAUCUAUUUAGUCUGCCUAAAAAACAGAUUAUUACCUUUGCUGCAGCUAACAUAAAGGAGACUAGUUCUUGUGCUGACUGAUGCAGGAUUCACAGAGACAGCUUCGGCUGACUUUGUAAACUCGAUCUCAAAUCAAGUAAGACUACCCGCUGAACUUAAGCAUAUCAAUAAGCGGAGGA
rnacentral:misc_RNA from 1 species